UCUAUAACCGAUAACCCCCGCUUAACCUCACCAGCCCUUGUUCACCCCGCCUAUAUACCACCGUCGCCAGCUUAUCCUGUGAAGGUCUCAUAAUAAGCAAAAUGGGUAAAACCCAG
rnacentral:rRNA from 1 species